AAUAGCUCACUGGUCGAGUCGGCCUGCGCGGAAGAUGUAACGGGGCUAAACCAUGCACCGAAGCUGCGGCAGCGACGCUGAUGCGUUGUUGGGUAGGGGAGCGUUCUGUAAGCCUGCGAAGGUGUGCUGUGAGGCAUGCUGGAGGUAUCAGAAGUGCGAAUGCUGACAUAAGUAACGAUAAAGCGGGUGAAAAGCCCGCUCGCCGGAAGACCAAGGGUUCCUGUCCAACGUUAAUCGGGGCAGGGUGAGUCGACCCCUAAGGCGAGGCCGAAAGGCGUAGUCGAUGGGAAACAGGUUAAUAUUCCUGUACUUGGUGUUACUGCGAAGGGGGGACGGAGAAGGCUAUGUUGGCCGGGCGACGGUUGUCCCGGUUUAAGCGUGUAGGCUGGUUUUCCAGGCAAAUCCGGAAAAUCAAGGCUGAGGCGUGAUGACGAGGCACUACGGUGCUGAAGCAACAAAUGCCCUGCUUCCAGGAAAAGCCUCUAAGCAUCAGGUAACAUCAAAUCGUACCCCAAACCGACACAGGUGGUCAGGUAGAGAAUACCAAGGCGCUUGAGAGAACUCGGGUGAAGGAACUAGGCAAAAUGGUGCCGUAACUUCGGGAGAA
rnacentral:rRNA from 1 species